rnacentral:lncRNA from 1 species
CGGCUCAGAGAAAAUCGGAACGCCCCGUAUUCCAGCCCAGAGAUCGAGGAGAAGUCUUCUGGAAUACGGCACUUCUUAGCAUAGAACAAACCAGCUUUCUAUUAUUACACGAAUAUGAUUACAAGGUCUCCGAUAUUACAAUGAAUAACAUCGGCAUGGCGACACUACGCCAUCCACAGUUGCUCUAUGCAAGCAGCAAAACACCUCGAAGCAGCGGAAUAACUCUAGCAAAAACUAUUGGCAGCAGAACAAUGACGACGUUGGUGAAUGGACUCCAAUCCGCAGGGACUCUGGCUGGAACGCUUAUCCUAGCUCGCGAACACAGGAACAACACCAAACAGGCAAGCAAUCCAGGCACGACCUACAAGCUGGCAUGACACGCCAGGUCAGUACAUUGAAUGUACUUGCAAGCUCACAAUAAACCAGAAGCAUUCAAGACAAACAACAGCAUGGCAAAUUCAGGUUAAGCAGGAAUUAACAUGAGAUCCUUAUAACAACAUGACAUGAGCACAUGAUAUCCAAAGUAAUACUCCAAAUUAAUACCAGAUACCAUCAUGAAAAUAAUCAUAGUAGCCACUAAGAAUCCAAAGGCAAUAUGAACCUGAUACAGCUAGAACAAUAUGAGCAUGGCAUGAACAUAUAAAUCUGCUGAUACUAGCAUGCAACAUGAUGAAACUAUAUGCACCAAUUAUUCUACUCGGGUUAUCUUGCAACCAUCACACGCAGCACUUACCAUCCUCGGACAUCACACGAUCAUCUCAGCAUCAAAUUAAACUUGGUAUAAACAAUAUUGUAGUAAUCAUUAAAUGACCACAAGGAGCUUGAUCUUUACCCAUGAUUCUUGCACAACAUCAUGAAUAUCCAACAACUCGGUAUCCUCGAUACCGCGGUGAUCAUUACGGCGAUCACAAGCAAAGUAACUUAUGAUCCUUACGGCGAUCAUCACCAAAGUAACUCGUCAUCCUUACGGCGAUCACCACCAAAGUAACUCCUGAUCCUUACGGCAAUGACCACCAACUUAUUUCAUCACCAAACCGGGGUUGUCAUUAAUAAAGUUAUUAUUAAUACUGUUGACUCACGGUGGGACCGACACGAACUGGGCCCUUAUCCGCGGGCGCGGCUAUCGAUAGAUUUAAUAUACACUCUGCAGAGGUAGCACACUGUACCCACACCACGGAACCCAUGGCCUCGCACUCCCAUUUGGAUGGACCAACGGCGUUCCGACAAAACCGAUCUACUGAAGUGACACUCUCCCGGCCACUCCGACCCACAUCCCCAACGGGCUGGUCCUAGGUGGCCCCGUGUCUACCAAAGACACCCCGACCAGCGGCGUGGUCAAAACACUCCCACUCGGGGACUGGAUCCAUAAAAAUAAAAACAACGGGCACACAAGGUUAUGUCCGCCUACCUGAUCAGGGUAAGCACGCCCAUAACCUUCCCUCGUGGGAGGCACCGGCGAGAUGCACGACAAUAGACCCAGUUAGGACCUUACCCAUACGGUAAGUGUGGUUGCACUAGUCAGUUUCGAUCUGGUUGCACCAUGACUCAGCCAACAGUUGUUCAAGUUCAAUUAAAUCCGGUUAAACUUGAAUGCAAUAUGCUGAGCCAUGAUAAAAUAAUAUGAUGCAAUGACAAUGCAUGAGCAUAAUAUCAACAUAAGCACGGGAUGCAACAUAAUUGUCCAUCAAAUCAACUAUGAAAUAAUCUCCAACCGAACAUGGCAUAAUGACGAGCAUAAAUAUUACAAGUAAAACACUACUCAUAGUAUAAAAUAACAUGACCACUAGCAUCAACCAUAAAUAACAUGCAAGAACUUAUCAAUAACAUCACCGAGUAACACUUAACCAACUAACAGUAAUGGAACAAUGCCUAUUAACAAUAAUCGGUAACCGACAUUAGUCAUGCACCGAAGAGCAUGACCAACCAAACAUGUACUACUAUCAAGCAUGGCAAUAUGAAAGUAAUACUAGCAACUAGCAGGGCAUGAUAACCAGGUGCAUAACAACAUAGCAAACAAGUAAGCACAAUCCCAGGAGCAUUUCCGAAACAACGAUAACCAUAUUUUAAACAAGCAAUCAUUUAAUAAAUAUUCAAGUUGAAAACCAUGGCUACUGCAUGACUAUCAUGCAAGUGGGUAUUGUGGCUUGCCUGGGGGUGAAGAAGGCACCGGUAAGAAGUGCGGUGAAGCCACGGAAAGAUUUGCCGGAAACAGUUCUCUCUCUGAGGGGCUGUUUACGUGCAAGGGCAAAAAGGUCAUUUUCACAGUGUCACACCAUAGUGAAAAUGAAACCAACAGAACAGGCUUGACGAAACGAAGAAGUGGGCUUUGGAAUCACCUCAUUUGGAGUUGUUGUUAAAAAGAUAUGAUAGUUUGAACUCCAGAGACCAAACUGUGAAAAUUUCAUCACCAACGGGUCCCUGAGUGGAUAAAACAGAAACAGAUUUGAGAAAAUACGCUUCCUGACUUAGAAAACGUACUUCAGGCCGAAGUAGAAAUUGAAUGCGCUUUCAGACAGAAGGAAACAUACUCUGGGAAAUACGUUUCCACUUAACCAUGUGGACAGUGGUGGGCCGGGCGUGGGUCGUUGACGUGCGGGUCCCACGGGCUGUGGGGCCCGUCACUUAUCCAGUUGGAUCGGGCGGGUCAACGCCCGAGUGCUGCCAAGUGGGGUCGGGGAAAGGGAGCGGUGCCCGCCUGGCCUUCGUCUUCUUCCUCCUCCCUGCCCCCGAUCGGGAACAGAGGAAACCAGGGGAGGGCGCGGCGCCGGCGGGGGGCUGGC